rnacentral:rRNA from 1 species
CUACGGGAGGCAGCAGUGGGGAAUUUUGGACAAUGGGGGCAACCCUGAUCCAGCCAUCCCGCGUGUGCGAUGAAGGCCUUCGGGUUGAAAAGCACUUUUGGCAGGGAAGAAAAGGCGCGGGAUAAUACCUUGCGUCGCUGACGGUACC